rfam:Candidatus Bathyarchaeota archaeon RBG_13_46_16b RBG_13_scaffold_5051, whole genome shotgun sequence.
GCGGAUUAUUGUCCGCUGGGAUGUGGCCCUAACGGGCUGAACCGUAAA